rnacentral:snRNA from 1 species
AUAUCAUCCUGGUUUUCCAGGAUGAGGUUUAUCCAUUGUACUCUGAAUGUGCUAACUCCUGUGAUUUCCCCAAAUGUCAGAAACUCCACUGCAUAACUUGUGGUAGUGAGGGACUGUGUUUGCACUUAACCUUG